AUUGAACGCUGGCGGCAUGCCUUACACAUGCAAGUCGAACGGUAACAGGUCUUCGGAUGCUGACGAGUGGCGAACGGGUGAGUAAUACAUCGGAACGUGCCUAGUAGUGGGGGAUAACUACUCGAAAGAGUGGCUAAUACCGCAUGAGAUCUACGGAUGAAAGCAGGGGAUUGCAAGACCUUGUGCUACUAGAGCGGCCGAUGGCAGAUUAGGUAGUUGGUGGGAUAAAAGCUUACCAAGCCGACGAUCUGUAGCGGGUCUGAGAGGACGAUCAGCCACACUGGGACUGAGACACGGCCCAGACUCCUACGGGAGGCAGCAGUGGGGAAUUUUGGACAAUGGGCGCAAGCCUGAUCCAGCAAUGCCGCGUGCAGGAUGAAGGCCUUCGGGUUGUAAACUGCUUUUGUACGGAACGAAAAGCCCUGGGUUAAUACCCUGGGGUCAUGACGGUACCGUAAGAAUAAGCACCGGCUAACUACGUGCCAGCCGCCGCAGUAAUAC
rnacentral:rRNA from 1 species